rnacentral:ncRNA from 1 species
AUGAGUAACGAAAAAGGAUAUUAUAUCCUCGCCUUAAGCUUAUGGUAUUUAAUUAAAAUUUCGGUGUCUAAGUAGGAAGAUAAAAGAGUAAAACUGUCAUGAGUUUGAAAAACUUCUCCUAAUGGAUUUUUACGAUGAUAUAUUGAUUAGAGAAAAAAACCUUUAUAAAGUGUUAAAGGUUCUGGAAAUUAAAUCUAAUCCAAAACAUGUAGAGCGAACCCAAAUAACUCUAUUACAAAAAGAUAUAAGACCGUACCUAAAUACUAACACAAGUAAGCAAGUAGAGUAUACAAAGGCGUUUGAGCGAACAAUCCUUAAGGAACUCGGCAAAUUGACUCCGUAACUUCGGGAUAAGGAGAGCCGUUAUUAUAGAAAAAAAAAUUUUUUUUCUGUUAAAUAAGAGGAAACAUAAAAUAAUGUUGUACGACUGUUUAAUUAAAACAAAUCACUCUGCAAAGAUUAAAAAUCAAAGUAUUGAGUGUGAUGUCUGCCCAAUGUCGGUUGUAUAACUGAGAUGCUUAAUUUAAAAAGUUAAGUUUUGAAGGACACCCCGAUCAAUGGCGGUCUUAUCUAUAAGGAUCCUAAGGUAGCGGAAUACCUUGGCCGUUAAAUGCGGUCUUGCAUGAAUGACUUAACGAUACAACAGCUGUCUCGAGGAUUGGCUCAGUGAAAUU